CUUUGCGCGGUGCCUAAAUUGUGCUCGAGCUUCUUUGUUAACCUCGAAGUCUCUGCCCCAUAUGUUAGCAUCGGAAGAAUGCAAUCAUUGUGCACUUUUAUCUUCAACAACAGUGGC
rnacentral:lncRNA from 1 species